AAAGACCUUACUUCAUAGUGAUCAUUUCUAUAGUAAGCUCUUACCGAGAAACUUCACACUACGUGAAUGAUCGACAACCACGAUGAGGAGGCGUGGCGCGGCACCCUGAGCGUGAGGCGGGCGGUGGUAGAUCUACCAUCAGCCUUCGAUGAUCGUUCGAUCCCCUUCACGGGGGAGAGUGGGGUGUUGUCGCUGUCUGAGUGGUUUU
rnacentral:snoRNA from 1 species